rnacentral:rRNA from 1 species
UACAGAGGUCCCAAGCGUUGUUCGGAUUCACUGGGCGUAAAGGGUGCGUAGGCGGCUUGGUAAGUUUGAUGUGAAAUCUCCGAGCUCAACUCGGAAAUGGCAUUGGAAACUACCUUGCUCGAGGGUUGGAGGGGGGACUGGAAUGCUUGGUGUAGCAGUGAAAUGCGUAGAUAUCAAGCGGAACACCAGUGGCGAAGGCGAGUCCCUGGACAACUCCUGACACUGAGGCACGAAAGCUAGGGGAGCAAACAGG